rnacentral:rRNA from 1 species
UACGUAGGAUGCUAGCGUUGUCCGGAUUUACUGGGCGUAAAGCGCGCGCAGGCGGCACUGUAAGUAAGGUGUGAAAUAUCCCUGCUCAACGGGGAGGGUGCACUUUAGACUGCAGAGCUAGAGGACGGUAGAGGGGGGGUGGAAUUGCUGGUGUAGUGGUGAAAUGCGUAGAGAUCGGGAGGAACACCCGUAGCGAAGGCGGCCGACUGGACCGAUCCUGACGCUGAGGCGCGAAGGCCAGGGGAGCGAACGGG